CUGGGACUUGUGAUUCCAGGUACCAACUUGCUCUUCAGGACACGUGUCCUCACUGCUAAACGUAGCAAUACAGACAAACAUGGUAUGGGCAAAAUUAACAUCAAACCAACCAUAAGAAUAAACUACGUAAUAAUACUCUAUGCUGCAUAACGAGAACGUAGGAACAAGAAUCACUAAAUUUGGAGUUACGUUUACAAAGUUAUAAUUUUAUAAAGAUUUAAGUGUUGGACACAAAAGAAAUUAAGUGCAUAAAUUAUAUCCAUGUUUCAUAAUAAAAUAAGGUUACCAGAUGAUAAACAAUAUUAUUAUGAAUUUAUAGAAACUAGAAUAAAUUAAUUCGGAGCUAAGAUGAAUUAAAUAUGAAUUAAAUAAGAUUCUAGGUUUAUUUCUAUUCUAGAAAACAUUUUCUGAAUUAUUUUAUUCCAUUUAUUCACUUCCUGGGCAGCGAACACAAAUUCCGGAAAGCACAGGGUGCACUUUAUAAAAACCAGGGGCCUAUACCGAAUUACUUUUACACAGUAGUGGACCGCGAGUUGAUAACCUAUAAAUCCAGGGACUCUUUAACAAAUUGCGCACGGCCAAGGGGUACCAAGCAUCCUAAACUGUCCGAUCGUCAAUCAGUGGCUAUGAUUAGAUCUGUAUUAAUCCGAACGGGUAUGCAACUCAGACCGUCCGAUCUUAAUCCGAGGACCCAUAAACCACUUAACCGAAAGGGUAUGCGCCAUUUCAAUCACAGCCGUCCGCGGCUAGAUCAACGGGUCAGAUUGGGCGAUGAGACUCUACGCCUAGCUAGGAUCUAAUCCAUGUCGUUGAUUUUACCAUCCACGGUCACGGUGUUUUCACCUACCUCUAGACUCCAAUGCCCGAUGGCGGCCACAGUACACCGCAGCACCAUUGUUGUCACCCAAAAAUCCUGUGAUUCCGCGCUCUAACCUCCAAUCCAGCCGAUACAACACGAUGCACACUGGUAAGAGAAACACAAGGACGAAUUCUUACCUGGAAUCGCAUGAUGCAGCACCCCUGCCCCAGCGACGCGCAACGCGAAGGCUUCACGGGCGGCGCCAUGCCGAGCCCAUGGCGAGGCAACACGGCGACCAACAAGGAUGAAGCCGACACGUUCCGAGCCAAGACAAGGAUACGAAUCAGGUUCUAGGGAAUAAAAAUAGCUGCUGGAUGAUCUACACUGCGUAUUGUGUGGGAUAGACGAAACUACUCUAGCGACCAACUGUCUUCUAUAGCCAUGGCUCUCUUCAUGGAUCAGGAGGUGCCUAGGCUGAUCCUAUAUAUAUCCACGGGAGUGGAUGAG
rnacentral:lncRNA from 1 species